CCUAAAGGCUAAUUAAGUGUUUUUUGGCACAUUGACUUUUCACGUCAAAGGAGCACAUAGUGCAUUUAGCU
rnacentral:tRNA from 1 species